CCGUCAGAAUUACGCUGUUUUCUUGUAGUGUCCCUCUCCUCAAACCAAUCCCUCGCUUCUCCACAACACGGAUUGCCACCGCACCACGUGAUGCUCCUCCUCCACCACCUUCUGAAUCACGUCCUCUCAACCGCCGCAAGGAGCCAAACUACUCCCCCUAAUUAUUCAGUAUGAGAUAUAAGAGAUAAGAAGAGAAGAUGAGUUCAAAGGGAGGAAUCUCACAUAUAUUUAUACCAAAUCCACACAUCGUCGGAGAACGAAUAGGAUUUAUGACGAAGCUAUUAAUUAGACCGUUUCAGGUCGUGAAAAGAAGCGCAGAGGUCACCGUCUUGGUCACCGCACGAUCAGGAGAGUCAAACUUCUUGUUUUCGAUUCAAUAGUAUUAGGGUUAGAGCCGACUUCAACUUAAGCGGGCCGGGUAAAUCUCACAAAUUCGGAGCCCAAGCACAUGAAUACACGGUACAAGCCCACGAUCGCUUA
rnacentral:lncRNA from 1 species